UCGAUUCAGCCCCGGCGAGUUCUCCACCUGAAAAAAAGAGCGAUCUACGCGAGCCUUUCCAAUUCCAUCAAGGCAAUCAUGCAGGCACAGCUAUUCGAGCCCUAAGCCGCCGCCGCCGUCCGACGUUCGUACCGGUAUUGGCGUAUUGCCGGCUCCUAUCUCUCCUGCGUCCUGGUAAUUUCCUUCCUAAUUAGCUGCUGAUUUCAAUUUCUAGGGCCCCCAUUGUAAUUCUGUAUAGGCAGUUAGGAAAACGUCUAAUCUAGUUUGCGGCUGAUUUCAAUUCCACGGACUCCCAUCUGCAAUUCUAUGUUGGCACUUGGCACACGCACUAAAGCUCGUCACUAUCACCGAAUCGACCAUCAGGUAGUAUAUCAUAUUGUCGUUCCUUGAUGCAUAAGUCGGUACAUUUCACCAAUUGAAGCAACAUUUGUUUUUCCAGCAUUGUGUGUUAUCAUGUUGUAAAGGAAAUAAGACAUAUGCAUCAGGUAGCGAUAAAAGGAAAAUAAAGAAGGCCGUGGAAAAAUUGGUACAAUCACAACAGGGAGAUAUGCACAAAUUUCUCAGGAGUAAAAUUGGUGCUUCCACUGCUUUUGAUAAAGCAAGAUGAUGAGUUGGCGAUGGUUGCCAUGGAGGAAGAGCUGUAACCUAUUGGGAAUUCAGAAUAUUACCAGGGAGAAGAAAAUGUUGACACCAACAUCGGAAGUAACAAUGUAAGUGACUUUGAUCAGAAUGUAAGUAAUUCAUCAGAUGCACACACAUAGUCUGCUAGUCUUGAUGAACAACAUGUUCAUACUCCUAAUAUUUAUGAUCCAAGCAAUCGGGAUAAUCUUGAUACUAAAUCAAGAGACAUUUUAGUUGAGAAAGGGCUGUGAGAGAGGAAAAAAAAUGGAAUACCAUGUAGAUGGAGCAGGAAGACAUUUUUCAUAUGCUCAUUAUCAUAGGAAAUUAAGCAAUGGAGAGAAACAUGAUAGAAAGUGGCUAGUUUAUUCAAAAGUUCUCGAUAAAGUUUUUUGCUUCUCUUGUAAGAUCUUCUAUUGUAGUGUCUGCUAUGGAGAUUUUCGAGCAUUGUCAGAGAAGUUGAUUGCUAUUCUAAUAUCUCCAUUGCUUUCACGGUCGCAUCGGCCGAAAGAAGCUUUUCAAAGUUAAAAUUAUUGAAGAAUUAUUUGAGGUCAACAAUGACUCAGGAGAGGUUAAAUGGCUUUCCUGCAUUUUGCAUCGAGAAGAAAUUAUUGGAUGAGAUUGACAUCGACCCUAUCAUAAGUGACUUUGCAUGGAGGAACGUAGAAGAAAGUUUUAAGUAAGGGCCCCAGGUUUUAGUUUCGCCCCGGGCCCCCAAAAUCUCAGGACCGGCCCUGGUCGUCUCUUGAUGCGUGAUGGAUUCAGGUGCGUGCAUGGAGCUUUUCUCCUCCACGACAGGGAUAGGUGCAUGGGCUUUCCGAUCCAUGAUGUCAACGACAUGCAAGUCCGUUAUGUAGGCACAUAGAAAGUGAAGCCUCCAUUGACUCCGAGGAGAUCCUCGACCAAGGUUCGCUCAGGGCUUUGUGCUCCAGUAGCAAGAAGACAUGUUCAUUCAUCAAGGUUAGCUGGGAGUUGUGAUUUUGAUUCAAAUAAACAAGGAGAUGCACAUGAUCAAGGUCAGCUCCCGGGAAAAUAUUUUUUACAA